rnacentral:rRNA from 1 species
UGUGAACUCGAAGAGUAGGGCGGGACACGUGGUAUCCUGUCUGAAUAUGGGGGGACCAUCCUCCAAGGCUAAAUACUCCUGACUGACCGAUAGUGAACCAGUACCGUGAGGGAAAGGCGAAAAGAACCCCGGCGAGGGGAGUGAAAAAGAACCUGAAACCGUGUACGUACAAGCAGUAGGAGCCUCUUUAUGGGGUGACUGCGUACCUUUUGUAUAAUGGGUCAGCGACUUAUAUUCUGUAGCAAGGUUAACCGUAUAGGGGAGCCGCAGGGAAACCGAGUCUUAACUGGGCGUUAAGUUGCAGGGUAUAGACCCGAAACCCGGUGAUCUAGCCAUGGGCAGGUUGAAGGUUGGGUAACACUAACUGGAGGACCGAACCGACUAAUGUUGAAAAAUUAGCGGAUGACUUGUGGCUGGGGGUGAAAGGCCAAUCAAACCGGGAGAUAGCUGGUUCUCCCCGAAAGCUAUUUAGGUAGCGCCUCGUGAAUUCAUCUUCGGGGGUAGAGCACUGUUUCGGCUAGGGGGUCAUCCCGACUUACCAACCCGAUGCAAACUACGAAUACCGAAGAAUGUUAUCACGGGAGACACACGGCGGGUGCUAACGUCCGUCGUGAAGAGGGAAACAACCCAGACCGCCAGCUAAGGUCCCAAAGUCAUGGUUAAGUGGGAAACGAUGUGGGAAGGCCCAGACAGCCAGGAUGUUGGCUUAGAAGCAGCCAUCAUUUAAAGAAAGCGUAAUAGCUCACUGGUCGAGUCGGCCUGCGCGGAAGAUGUAACGGGGCUAAACCAUGCACCGAAGCUGCGGCAGCGACACUAUGUGUUGUUGGGUAGGGGAGCGUUCUGUAAGCCGUUGAAGGUGGCCUGUGAGGGUUGCUGGAGGUAUCAGAAGUGCGAAUGCUGACAUAAGUAACGAUAAUGCGGGUGAAAAACCCGCACGCCGGAAGACCAAGGGUUCCUGUCCAACGUUAAUCGGGGCAGGGUGAGUCGACCCCUAAGGCGAGGCCGAAAGGCGUAGUCGAUGGGAAACAGGUUAAUAUUCCUGUACUCGGUGUUACUGCGAAGGGGGGACGGAGAAGGCUAUGUUGGCCGGGCGACGGUUGUCCCGGUUUAAGCAUGUAGGCGGAUGUUCCAGGUAAAUCCGGAACGUUAUCAACGCUGAGGUGUGAUGACGAGGCACUACGGUGCUGAAGUGACAAAUGCCCUGCUUCCAGGAAAAGCCUCUAAGCAUCAGGUAACAUCAAAUCGUACCCCAAACCGACACAGGUGGUCAGGUAGAGAAUACCAAGGCGCUUGAGAGAACUCGGGUGAAGGAACUAGGCAAAAUGGUGCCGUAACUUCGGGAGAAGGCACGCUGAUAGGUAGGUGAAGUGGUUUACCCAUGGAGCUGAAAUCAGUCGAAGAUACCAGCUGGCUGCAACUGUUUAUUAAAAACACAGCACUGUGCAAACACGAAAGUGGACGUAUACGGUGUGACGCCUGCCCGGUGCCGGAAGGUUAAUUGAUGGGGUUAUCCGUAAGGAGAAGCUCUUGAUCGAAGCCCCGGUAAACGGCGGCCGUAACUAUAACGGUCCUAAGGUAGCGAAAUUCCUUGUCGGGUAAGUUCCGACCUGCACGAAUGGCGUAAUGAUGGCCAGGCUGUCUCCACCCGAGACUCAGUGAAAUUGAACUCGCUGUGAAGAUGCAGUGUACCCGCGGCAAGACGGAAAGACCCCGUGAACCUUUACUAUAGCUUGACACUGAACACUGGUCCUUGAUGUGUAGGAUAGGUGGGAGGCUUUGAAG